rnacentral:lncRNA from 1 species
AUUUUUCUUGUUACAGGAGACAGAGAAAGAGGUUCCAUGUGCGCCACCACCCGAGCCUAAGAAUCAACUCCGCAGAACUAAUUCGGCAUCCUUUUGAUGUCUUCAUUGGAAUGAGUUUCUUAUUCUUUUUCAUACUAUCACAGUUCUCAUGUGCAUUAUGCAUUUGACUCUCAUGUUUCCAUACAAUUGGAACUUUGGAAGGGUAUUUAUCUUCUUGAGGUAGUUGUUUUUGAUGCAAUCAGUUCUUCACAGCUUGCUCUAUUCCACUAAAGUUUUGUUGUAUGUUGUAUCUAUAUCAUUAUCAUGUCUGAAUUAUGACUUAAGCAGCACUCUAAAUAUAUUUCAGUCUAAUUCUGGACCUACAUGUGGAUUUAGUAUCAUUUUCUUUUUUCUUUGUGAGCAUUUUUGUAACUUAGUAGUCAUUGCUUCAUUGCAUUUGCUUAGACAAUAAUUUGAACUUUACUUUAAACUAUUUCAUUUCAAGCAUAAUGUAGUUUCUAUUAGUGUGAAGAAAUUUUGUUGAAGAUUG